rnacentral:rRNA from 1 species
GAUGAACGCUGGCGGCGUGCCUAAUACAUGCAAGUCGAGCGAACAGAUGAGGAGCUUGCUCCUCUGACGUUAGCGGCGGACGGGUGAGUAACACGUGGAUAACCUACCUAUAAGACUGGGAUAACUUCGGGAAACCGGAGCUAAUACCGGAUAAUAUAUUGAACCGCAUGGUUCAAUAGUGAAAGACGGUUUUGCUGUCACUUAUAGAUGGAUCCGUGCCGCAUUAGCUAGUUGGUAAGGUAACGGCUUACCAAGGCAACGAUGCGUAGCCGACCUGAGAGGGUGAUCGGCCACACUGGAACUGAGACACGGUCCAGACUCCUACGGGAGGCAGCAGUAGGGAAUCGUCCGCAAUGGGCGAAAGCCUGACGGAGCAACGCCGCGUGAGUGAUGAAGGUCUUCGGGUCGUAAAACUCUGUUAUUAGGGAAGAAAAAAUGUGUAAGUAACUAUGCACGUCUUGACGGUACCUAAUCAGAAAGCCACGGCUAACUACGUG